GACGAACGCUGGCGGCGUGCUUAACACAUGCAAGUGGUGCGACGAACCAGGGCUUGCCCUGGGGCAAAGCCGCGAACGGGUGAGUAACACGUGGGUAAUCUGCCCCGAUGACCGGGACAACCCGAGGAAACUCGGGCUAAUACCGGAUGUGGUGCACGGCCUCAAGGCCAUGUACUAAAGGAAGCUUCGGCCUCCGCAUUGGGAGGAGCCCGCGGCCCAUUAGCUUGUUGGUGGGUAACGGCCUACCAAGGCAACGAUGGGUAGCUGGUCUGAGAGGACGAUCAGCCACACUGGGACUGAGACACGGCCCAGACUCCUACGGGAGGCUG
rnacentral:rRNA from 1 species